GAUGAACGCUAGCUACAGGCUUAACACAUGCAAGUCGAGGGACCGGCGCACGGGUGAGUAACACGUACCAAACCUGCCCUUUACUCGGGGAUAGCCUUUCGAAAGAAAGAUUAAUACCCGAUAUAAAGGCGGGGGAUGCGUUCCAUUAGGUGGUUGGUGAGGUACCGGCCCACCAGGCCUACGAUGGAUAGGGGUUCUGAGAGGAAGGUCCCCCACAUUGGAACUGAGACCCGAUCCAAACUCCUACGAGAGGCAGCAGUGAGGAAUAAUGGUCAAAGGGCGCUAGCCUGAACCAGCCAAGUAGCGUGAAGGAUGAAGGCUUAUGAGGCGUAAUCUUCUGUUAUAUAAGAAUAUGUAUUAUAUGAAUAAGGAUCGGCUAACUCCGUGCCAGCAGCCGCGGUAAUUG
rnacentral:rRNA from 1 species